rnacentral:rRNA from 1 species
UGGGGAAUUUUGCACAAUGGGGGAAACCCUGAUGCAGCGACGCCGCGUGAUUUAGAAGGCCUUCGGGUUGUAAAAAUCUUUUGUAUAGGAAGAAAAUGACAGUACUAUACGAAUAAGGACCGGCUAAUUACGUGCCAGCAGCCGCGGUAAUACGUAAGGUCCGAGCGUUGUCCGGAAUCAUUGGGCGUAAAGGGUACGUAGGCGGGUAAGCAAGUUAGAAGUGAAAUCCUGUAGCUCAACUACAGUAAGCUUUUAAAACUGCUCAUCUUGAGAUAUGGAAGGGAAAGUGGAAUUCCUAGUGUAGCGGUGAAAUGCGCAGAUAUUAGGAGGAAUACCGGUGGCGAAGGCGACUUUCUGGCCAUAAUCUGACGCUGAGGUACGAAAGCGUGGGUAGCAAACAGG